AUCAACUUUCGAUGGUAGGAUAGAGGCCUACCAUGGUGNNAACGGGUAACGGGGUGUUAGGGCACGACACCGGAGAGGGAGCCUGAGAAACGGCUACCACAUCCAAGGAUGGCAGCAGGCGCGCAAAUUACCCAAUCCCGACACGGGGAGGUAGUGACAAUAAAUAACAAUACGGGGUUCUUUCGGAUUUCGUAAUUGGAAUGAGUACAAUUUAAAUCUCUUAACGAGGAACAAUUGGAGGGCAAGUCUGGUGCCAGCAGCCGCGGUAAUUCCAGCUCCAAUAGCGUAUAUUAAAGUUGCUGCAGUUAAAAAGCUCGUAGUUGAAUUUCGGGACCAUCAUGUCGGUCGUGCCUCGGUACGUACUGGCAUUGUUGGUUUCUCCCUUCUGACGAACCAUGAUGUCAUUUAUUUGGUGUUAUGGGGAAUUAGGACUGUUACUUUGAAAAAAUUAGAGUGUUUAAAGCAGGCUCACGCUUGAAUACAUUAGCAUGGAAUAAUGAAAUAGGACGUUUGAUUCUAUUUUGUUGGUUUCUAGGAUCGACGUAAUGAUUAAUAGGGAUAGUUGGGGGCAUUAGUAUUCAAUUGUCAGAGGUGAAAUUCUUGGAUUUAUUGAAGACUAACUACUGCGAAAGCAUUUGCCAAGGAUGUUUUCAUUAAUCAAGAACGAAAGUUAGGGGAUCGAAGACGAUCAGAUACCGUCGUAGUCUUAACCAUAAACUAUGCCGACUAGGGAUCGGAUGAUGUUAAUUUUUUAAUGACUCAUUCGGCGCCUUACGGGAAACCAAAGUGUUUGGGUUC
rnacentral:rRNA from 1 species